rnacentral:lncRNA from 1 species
UGGAUUGUUUCUACAUAUCCCAUUCGAUGAUAUGGAUAUAUAUACAUCUCCAACCCAUCCAUCAAAUGGGUAGAUUGACUUUUGACCCCUAGGUCACUUUCUUCGACUCAAGCUUUAACUAUGUGAAGCUUCUAAAUAUAAAAAUUUAAAACAAGUAAAGAAAUUUAUUAAUAUUGCUUGACUUAUCUACUAUGAUGGUUGUAACAAUGAGUUUAGCUGAUCGCAUCGAUGCAGAUCUCUAAAGAAUCUCAACAACCGUCUCACAGACGACAUCCCGAAAGCUCUAAGGUCACUGAUAA